CAGUCGCCGCGGGAAUACAGAGGUCUCAAGCGUUGUUCGGAUUCAUUGGGCGUAAAGGGUGCGUAGGUGGCGGUGUAAGUCUAACGUGAAAUCUCGGGGCCCAACCUCGAAAUUGCGUCGGAUACUGCAUUGCUAGAGGAUUGUAGAGGAGAGUGGAAUUCAUGGUGUAGCAGUGAAAUGCGUAGAUAUCAUGAGGAAGACCAGUUGCGAAGGCGACUCUCUGGGCAACUCCUGACACUGAGGCACGAAGGCUAGGGGAGCAAACGGGAUUAGAUACCCCUGUAGUCCCUGUCUCUUAUAC
rnacentral:rRNA from 1 species